rnacentral:rRNA from 1 species
CCUACGGGAGACAGCAGUGGGGAAUAUUGGGCAAUGGGCGCAAGCCUGACCCAGCAACGCCGCGUGAAGGAAGAAGGCUUGCGGGGUGUAAACUUCUUGUAGCAGGGACGAAGCAAGUGACGGUACCGGAUGAAUAAGCGACGGCUAACGACGGGCCAGCAGCCGCGGUAAUACGUAGGUGGCAAGCUUUAGGCGGAAUUACUGGGUGUAAAGGGCGUGUAGGCGGGAGUGCAAGUCAGAUGUGAAAACUCUGGGCUCAACCCAUAGCCUGCUUUUGAAACUGUACUUCUUGAGUGCUGGAGAGGCAAUCGGAAUUCCGUGUGUAGCGGUGCAAUGCGUAGCUAUCCGGAGGCACACCAGUGGCGAAGGCGGAUUGCUGGACAGUAACUGCCGCUGAGGCGCGAAAGCGUGGGGAGCAAACAGGAUUAGAUCCCCUGGUAGUC